rnacentral:tRNA from 1 species
GCCACCUUAGCUCAGUCGGUAGAGUAGCUCAUUCGUAAUGAGUCGGUCCUCGGUUCAAGUCCGAGAGGUGGCU